UACAGAGGUCUCGAGCGUUAGGCGGAAUCACUGGGCUUAAAGCGUGUGUAGGCGGAUCGGUAAAUACCUUGUGAAAUCCCACAGCUUAACUGUGGAACUGCUUGGUAUACUGCCAGUCUUGAGCCAGCUAGGGGCUACCGGAACAAAUGGUGGAGCGGUGAAAUGCGUAGAUAUCAUUUGGAACGCCAAUGGUGAAAACAGGUAGCUGGGGCUGUGCUGACGCUGAGACACGAAAGCCAGGGGAGCAAACGGG
rnacentral:rRNA from 1 species